rnacentral:rRNA from 1 species
GGGAUGCUAAUACCGCAUACGUCCUACGGGAGAAAGCAGGGGACCUUCGGGCCUUGCGCUAAUAGAUGAGCCUAAGUCGGAUUAGCUGGUUGGUGGGGUAAAGGCCUACCAAGGCGACGAUCUGUAGCGGGUCUGAGAGGAUGAUCCGCCACACUGGGACUGAGACACGGCCCAGACUCCUACGGGAGGCAGCAGUGGGGAAUAUUGGACAAUGGGGGGAACCCUGAUCCAGCCAUGCCGCGUGUGUGAAGAAGGCCUUUUGGUUGUAAAGCACUUUAAGCGAGGAGGAGGCUACCGAGAUUAAUACUCUUGGAUAGUGGACGUUACUCGCAGAAUAAGCACCGGCUAACUCUGUGCCAGCAGCCGCGGGUAAUACAGAGGGUGCAAGCGUUAAUCGGAUUUACUGGGCGUAAAGCGCGCGUAGGUGGCCAAUUAAGUCAAAUGUGAAAUCCCCGAGCUUAACUUGGGAAUUGCAUUCGAUACUGGUUGGCUAGAGUAUGGGAGGAGGAUGGUAGAAUUCCAGGUGUAGCGGGUGAAAUGCGUAGAGAUCUGGGAGGAAUACCGAUGGCGAAAGGCAGCCAUCUGGGCCUAAUACUGACAC